ACGAACGCUGGCGGCGUGCCUAAUACAUGCAAGUCGAACGGUCUUUCUAUGGAAGCUUGCUUCCACUGAGAAGAUAGUGGCGAACGGGUGAGUAACACGUGGGUAACCUGCCCAUAAGAGGGGGAUAACAUCCGGAAACGGGUGCUAAUACCGCAUAGUUUUUCUUGAUCGCAUGAUUGAGAAAGGAAAGACGGCCUUUGUGCUGUCGCUUAUGGAUGGACCCGCGGCGUAUUAGUUAGUUGGUGAGGUAACGGCUUGCCAAGACGAUGAUAUGUAGCCGACCUGAGAGGGUGAUCGGCCACAUUGGGACUGAGACACGGCCCAAACUCCUACGGGAGGCAGCAGUAGGGAAUCUUCCGCAAUGGACGAAAGUCUGACGGAGCAACGCCGCGUGAGUGAAGAAAGGUUUUCGGAUCGUAAAACUCUGUUGUCAGAGAAGAACAAGUUGGAGAGUAACUGCUCCAGCCUUGACGGUAUCUGACCAGAAAGCCACGGCUAACUACGUGCCAGCCGCCGC
rnacentral:rRNA from 1 species